rnacentral:rRNA from 1 species
UACGGAGGGUCCAAGCGUUAUCCGGAAUCAUUGGGUUUAAAGGGUCCGUAGGCGGUUUUGUAAGUCAGUGGUGAAAGCCCAUCGCUCAACGGUGGAACGGCCAUUGAUACUGCAAGACUUGAAUUAUUGGGAAGCAACUAGAAUAUGUAGUGUAGCGGUGAAAUGCUUAGAGAUUACAUGGAAUACCAAUUGCGAAGGCAGGUUGCUACCAAUACAUUGACGCUGAUGGACGAAAGCG